UCGGAUAUGGUGUAACGGCUAACAUUGCCGCCUCUCACUCGUGUAGCUGGUAUCGCGGCAGCUCGGGGUUCGAUUCCCCGUAUCCGAA